rnacentral:rRNA from 1 species
UACGGGGGGGGCAAGCGUUGUUCGGAAUUACUGGGCGUAAAGGGCUCGUAGGUGGCCAACUAAGUCAGACGUGAAAUCCCUCGGCUUAACCGGGGAACUGCGUCUGAUACUGGAUGGCUUGAGUUCGGGAGAGGGAUGCGGAAUUCCAGGUGUAGCGGUGAAAUGCGUAGAUAUCAGGAGGAACACCGGUGGCGAAGGCGGCUUUCUGGACAGAAACUGACGCUGAUGCGCGAAAGCUAGGGGAGCAAACAGG